CAGGACUCCUACGGGAGGCAGCAGUAGGGGAAUCUUCCGCAAUGGACGAAAGUCUGACGGAGCAACGCCGCGUGAGUGAUGAAGGUUUUCGGAUCGUAAAGCUCUGUUGUUAGGGAAGAACAAGUACCGUUCGAAUAGGGCGGUACCUUGACGGUACCUAACCAGAAAGCCACGGCUAACUACGUGCCAGCAGCCGCGGUAAUACGUAGGUGGCAAGCGUUGUCCGGAAUUAUUGGGCGUAAAGGGCUCGCAGGCGGUUUCUUAAGUCUGAUGUGAAAGCCCCCGGCUCAACCGGGGAGGGUCAUUGGAAACUGGGGAACUUGAGUGCAGAAGAGGAGAGUGGAAUUCCACGUGUAGCGGUGAAAUGCGUAGAGAUGUGGAGGAACACCAGUGGCGAAGGCGACUCUCUGGUCUGUAACUGACGCUGAGGAGCGAAAGCGUGGGGAGCGAACAGGAUUAGAUACCCUGGUAGUCCACGCCGUAAACGAUGAGUGCUAAGUGUUAGGGGGUUUCCGCCCCUUAGUGCUGCAGCUAACGCAUUAAGCACUCCGCCUGGGGAGUACGGUCGCAAGACUGAAACUCAAAGGAAUUGACGGGGGCCCGCACAAGCGGUGGAGCAUGUGGUUUAAUUCGAAGCAACGCGAAGAACCUUACCAGGUCUUGACAUCCUCUGACAAUCCUAGAGAUAGGACUUCCCCUUCGGGGGCAGAGUGACAGGUGGUGCAUGGUUGUCGUCAGCUCGUGUCGUGAGAUGUUGGGUUAAGUCCCGCAACGAGCGCAACCCUUGAUCUUAGUUGCCAGCAUUCAGUUGGGCACUCUAAGGUGACUGCCGGUGACAAACCGGAGGAAGGUGGGGGAUGACGUCAAAUCAUCAUGCCCCCUUAUGACCUGGGCUACACACGUGCUACAAUGGACAGAACAAAGGGCAGCGAAACCCGCGAGGUUAAGCCAAUCCCACAAAUCUGUUCUCAGUUCGGAUCGCAGUCUGCAACUCGACUGCGUGAAGCU
rnacentral:rRNA from 1 species